AGUGAUCGCUGGCGGUAGGCCUAACACAUGCAAGUCGAACGGCAGCACAGUAAGAGCUUGCUCUUACGGGUGGCGAGUGGCGGACGGGUGAGGAAUACAUCGGAAUCUACUUUUUCGUGGGGGAUAACGUAGGGAAACUUACGCUAAUACCGCAUACGACCUACGGGUGAAAGCAGGGGAUCUUCGGACCUUGCGCGAUUGAAUGAGCCGAUGUCGGAUUAGCUAGUUGGCGGGGUAAAGGCCCACCAAGGCGACGAUCCGUAGCUGGUCUGAGAGGAUGAUCAGCCACACUGGAACUGAGACACGGUCCAGACUCCUACGGGAGGCAGCAGUGGGGAAUAUUGGACAAUGGGCGCAAGCCUGAUCCAGCCAUACCGCGUGGGUGAAGAAGGCCUUCGGGUUGUAAAGCCCUUUUGUUGGGAAAGAAAAGCAGCAGGUUAAUACCCCGCUGUUCUGACGGUACCCAAAGAGUAAGCACCGGCUAACUUCGUG
rnacentral:rRNA from 1 species